rnacentral:rRNA from 1 species
AAAUUGAAGAGUUUGAUCAUGGCUCAGAUUGAACGCUGGCGGUAGGCCUAACACAUGCAAGUCGAGCGGUAGCACAGAGAGCUUGCUCUCGGGUGACGAGCGGCGGACGGGUGAGUAAUGUCUGGGAAACUGCCUGAUGGAGGGGGAUAACUACUGGAAACGGUAGC